GGGUUAAUUACUAUUCAUUUCUCAUUCUUUCACUAGCCUCCAUUAUCCUCACAAGUUAGGGUUUCCGCCUCCAUUCCUUUUUCAGUUCUAUGAUCUCUUUCUUCUUCUCUUUUUUUCUUGAACUAACGAUGUCGAUUUGAAUGUUUCAGGAUUAUAGUUACCGCCACCGUUGCGCUAUGAAGCCGCCGUCACUACAACCAUUACACAGUUUCCAUCAUCCUCACGACUCAAGCGCUUCCUCAUCCUCACUAAUCUCCUGAUGCAUAUUUGGAAGGAGAACAUACCCAUUAAUGAGGUUUUUGAGAAUCUGAGAUGUAGCAGAAGCAGAGGCUCACCAUUUUUGGACAAAACAAGCUUGAGGAGAAGAGAGAGAGUAAUCUGUUGAAAUUUUUGGGAUUUAUGUGGAAUCCUCUCUCUUGGGUUAUGGAGGUUGCUGCUAUAAUGGCUAUAGCUCUUGCAAAUGGAGGGGGCAAAGCUUAGGAUUGACAAGUCUUGCCCUGAAAGCUAAAGUCUUUAAUUUGAGGAGAACAAUGUUGGUAAUGCUGCUGCAGCUCUUAUGGCUAGUCUCGCCCCGAAAGCUAAGGUCUUUAAUUUGAUGUCAACAAGGUAUUUCCAAAUGGUUGAUAUAAUAUCAACAAGAUAAACAAGUUCUAUGGAAGCCAAAACAAGUAAUAGUCUUUAGGACUAGGCAAAAUGACAUUGGUCUUUAUGGAGCAAGGAGCUGCAUCAGAGAGAAAUGGAAGUAUAUAAAGACAAUCUGGCUAAAAUCAAGAUUUAUGGCAUUGAUGUAGAUGUUAAUUUCAAUGUCAGCAACAAUAGUGAAAAUAUAAAGCAGUUUUGACUCUAGAAACAUACUCCAUGAUUGUGUUUUUCAGGUAGGAAGUUUACAGUAGUAUGCAGUUUCUAAUUCAUUCAAAGAAUGGUGUUAGAUUCAAAUAUAUUUGAGAUAAUUUCAAAUUUGUAUUGGUUUUGAUUUUGUAUUAUGUUUUAUUAAUUUGUGAUUUUUGUAGGUAGGGAUUUACUUAAUUUUUUGGAUGAUUUAGUAUUCACGUUGAAAAUAUUUCACUGUAAAGGAUGAACUCAAAUGGCUCAAAAUAGCCUCCUUAGCAAAUAGUAAUUAGUAGUUUUUAAAUUCAAAUAAUUAAUGUUUUUGUUUAAUAUAAAAUCAGGUAAUUUUCUAUUUUUAAAAAUAAAUUAAAUUUAUAUUGGAUUGUAAUUGGGCUGAAAAUUUGAGUGGCCCAAAUAAGCUUGUUAAAAAAAAUUUAGAAAGUAGAAAAAAAAUCAAUUGAAGUUAUAAUUUGGUCUGAAUUUUUUUACUGGCCCAACAAAGAAAUCCGAAAUAAACCGGGCCUGGUACCCGAACCCGUUUCAACCCGAAUCCGAAAAAACCAACCAUUAAAUUGGUCGGAAUUGGACCCUUAAAUGUCAUCCGAGAGUUGGGCCGGAUUGAGGUUUUGGGCCCGAACCUGAACCAUCCCGAACCGAUGUCCACCCCUAUUAUGUAUAAUUUGUUAGGUUGUGGAAUUUGUCAAAGUUAGUCCUGUAUGAACAUGUGUCAUACAUUUUCUAAUGUUAGUUAAGAGUUAGGACCAACCCUUACUAGAAAUAUUGCUAUUAAUCUAUUAUUAAAAAUAAAAUUAAAAAAUGAAGUUAUACUUCUAAAGUGAAGUAUAUUUUUUUCACCAAACACACACCAGAUUGGUCGGGACUCGUGAACACAUGAGCUUGACUUAAGUAUGAUUCACAUCAAUAUCAUCAUCUUUUUUAAAA